rnacentral:rRNA from 1 species
UACGAAGGGUGCUAGCGUUGCUCGGAAUUACUGGGCGUAAAGCGCACGUAGGCGGCUCUUUAAGUCGGGGGUGAAAUCCUGGAGCUCAACUCCAGAACUGCCUUCGAUACUGUAGAGCUUGAGUUCGGGAGAGGUGAGUGGAACUGCGAGUGUAGAGGUGAAAUUCGUAGAUAUUCGCAAGAACACCAGUGGCGAAGGCGGCUCACUGGCCCGAUACUGACGCUGAGGUGCGAAAGCGUGGGGAGCAAACAGG